rnacentral:rRNA from 1 species
AGAGUUUGAUCCUGGCUCAGAUUGAACGCUGGCGGCAUGCCUUACACAUGCAAGUCGAACGGUAACAGGUCUUCGGACGCUGACGAGUGGCGAACGGGUGAGUAAUACAUCGGAACGUGCCCAGUCGUGGGGGAUAACUACUCGAAAGAGUAGCUAAUACCGCAUACGAUCUGAGGAUGAAAGCGGGGGACCUUCGGGCCUCGCGCGAUUGGAGCGGCCGAUGGCAGAUUAGGUAGUUGGUGGGAUAAAAGCUUACCAAGCCGACGAUCUGUAGCUGGUCUGAGAGGACGACCAGCCACACUGGGACUGAGACACGGCCCAGACUCCUACGGGAGGCAGCAGUGGGGAAUUUUGGACAAUGGGCGAAAGCCUGAUCCAGCAAUGCCGCGUGCAGGAUGAAGGCCUUCGGGUUGUAAACUGCUUUUGUACGGAACGAAAAAGCUCCUUCUAAUACAGGGGGCCCAUGACGGUACCGUAAGAAUAAGCACCGGCUAACUACGUGCCAGCAG